rnacentral:rRNA from 1 species
GAUGAACGCUAGCUACAGGCUUAACACAUGCAAGUCGAGGGGAAACGAUAGAGAAAGCUUGCUUUUUCUAGGCGUCGACCGGCGCACGGGUGAGUAACGCGUAUCCAACCUGCCCACCACUUGGGGAUAACCUUGCGAAAGUAAGACUAAUACCCAAUGAUAUCCCACGAAGGCAUCGGAAUGGGAUUAAAGAUUUAUCGGUGAUGGAUGGGGAUGCGUCUGAUUAGCUUGUUGGCGGGGUAACGGCCCACCAAGGCAACGAUCAGUAGGGGUUCUGAGAGGAAGGUCCCCCACAUUGGAACUGAGACACGGUCCAAACUCCUACGGGAGGCAGCAGUGAGGAAUAUUGGUCAAUGGGCGAGAGCCUGAACCAGCCAAGUAGCGUGCAGGAUGACGGCCCUAUGGGUUGUAAACUGCUUUAUAAGGGAAUAAAGUGGGUACUCGUGAGACUUUUUGCAUGUACCUUAUGAAUAAGGCCGCUAAUCCGUG